CACGUCAUACAAUGGUCGGUACAGAGGGUUGCCAACCCGCGACGGGGGAGGCGUAAUCCCACAAAGACCGAUCGUAGUCCGGAUCGCAGGUCUGCAACUCGACUGCGUGAAGUCGGAAUCGCUAGUAAUCGUGGAUCAGCAUGUCACGGUGAAUACGUUCCCGGGUCUU
rnacentral:rRNA from 1 species